CCUUGAGGGUUGGAGAGCUGGAGGUUGCUGAUCUGUGCUCCUGGGCAUAUCUUUGGAUCAUCCUACAAGCAGCCCUCUGAAGCAGGAGUGGAUAGGAGUUUUUCAAUACCCUUAGGUGAACUAAGAGACAAUAUUGGGAACUCCAGCCAUUCUCUGGACCACUUAGGAUUCCUCCUCUGGACUUCAGCCUCUCCUUGCCAAAAGACUCUAUAUCUUCUACAGUCAUCAUUUGUAUGGAUAUAGGGAUUUGGAGAAACUGUUAUACAGUUCAGAUAGGCUAUUUUAUAAUAAUCAGACAAAGUGGGAGAAUAGUUGUCAUCAUUGUUUUUCAUCUUUCAUCUUCAAAGAGGACCGGUGAUAUUACAGGCUAUUGUGAAUAUCAAACAACCUACCUGUCCCUGUCUCAGGAUCUCAAGGCAGCUGACUAUCUAUCAUAUCUCAACUCCUCUUUUGCAUGAGUCAGGCUGACCAGAUAUGGAAGCUCUUCUUGCCAAGUUGUGAAUAAAAGACCUCUGCUGGAAAGUAUCAUUAAGGUACUACUUCAAUUCUCAAAGUGGUCUGCAAAUCCCUGGAUUUCCUUUUAGGGUGUCCUCAAGGUCAAAACUACUUUUAUAAUAAUACUAAAAUGUUUAUUUGCCCAUAAAAAUAUUUAUCUCUUUGCCAAUCCCAUAUCUAUAUUGGACUGAACUUUCUAUAAAUACUUCAACUAAAGCAACAUUGAAUGUAGGUAAUAUGAAAUAUGAGGAUCCAGCAAUCAUCUAUUAGACCAAACACUAAAGAGAUUUGCAUAAAUAUGUAAAACAAUGACAUUCUUCUCAUUAAUUUUUGUUUUGGAAAAUGGCUAAUUUAAAA